AAAACCCCGACUUCGGGAGGGGUGUGUUUAUUAGAUAAAAAACCAACGCCCUUCGGGGCUCCUUGGUGAUUCAUGAUAACCUCUCAGAUCGCACGGCCUUGCGCCGGCGACGGUUCAUUCAAAUUUCUGCCCUAUCAACUUUCGAUGGUAAGGUAUUGGCUUACCAUGGUUUCAACGGGUAACGGGGAAUUAGGGUUCGAUUCCGGAGAGUGAGCCUGAGAAACGGCUCACACAUCCAAGGAAGGCAGCAGGCGCGCAAAUUACCCAAUCCCGACACGGGGAGGUAGUGACAAUAAAUACUGAUACAGGGCUCUUUUGGGUCUUGUAAUUGGAAUGAGUACAAUUUAAACCUCUUAACGAGGAACAAUUGGAGGGCAAGUCUGGUGCCAGCAGCCGCGGUAAUUCCAGCUCCAAUAGCGUAUAUUAAAGUUGUUGCAGUUAAAAAGCUCGUAGUUGAAUCUUUGGCCUGGCUGGUGGGUCCGCCUCACCGCGUGCACUUGUCCGGCCGGGCCUUCUCUUCUGGAGAACCGCAUGCCCUUCACUGGGCGUGUUGGGGACCAGGACUUUUACUUUGAAAAAAUUAGAGUGUUCAAAGCAGGCCUUUGCUCGAAUACGUUAGCAUGGAAUAAUAGAAUAGGACGUGCGGUCCUAUUUUGUUGGUUUCUAGGACCGCCGUAAUGAUUAAUAGGGACAGUCGGGGGCAUCAGUAUUCAAUUGUCAGAGGUGAAAUUCUUGGAUUUAUUGAAGACUAACUACUGCGAAAGCAUUUGCCAAGGAUGUUUUCAUUAAUCAGUGAACGAAAGUUAGGGGAUCGAAGACGAUCAGAUACCGUCGUAGUCUUAACCAUAAACUAUGCCGAC
rnacentral:rRNA from 1 species